AGAGUUUGAUCCUGGCUCAGAACAAACGCUGGCGGCGUGCCUAACACAUGCAAGUCGUACGAGAAGGUCCGCUUCGGUGGAUGAGUAAAGUGGCGCACGGGUGAGUAACGCGUGGAUAAUCUACCCUUUAGUCUGGAAUAACUUAUCGAAAGGUGAACUAAUACCGGAUAAUAUCCCGAUUUCUUCGGCGAUCGGGAUCAAAGAAGGCCUCUGCUUGCAAGCUUUCACUGAAGGAUGAGUCCGCGUACCAUUAGCUAGUUGGCAGGGUAAUGGCCUACCAAGGUUAUGAUGGUUAGCUGGUCUGAGAGGAUGAUCAGCCACACUGGAACUGAAACACGGUCCAGACUCCUACGGGAGGCAGCAGUGAGGAAUAUUGCGCAAUGGGGGCAACCCUGACGCAGCAACGCCGCGUGAGUGAGGAAGGUUUUCGGAUUGUAAAGCUCUGUCGAGCGGAAAGAAGUGCAUGGUGGUUAAUAUCCAUCAUGCUUGACGGUACCGCUAAAGGAAGCACCGGCUAACUCCGUGCCAGCAGCCGCGGUAAUACGGGGGGUGCAAGCGUUGUUCGGAAUCAUUGGGCGUAAAGCGCGUGUAGGCGGCUGGACAAGUCAGAUGUGAAAGCCCUGGGCUUAACCCAGGAAGUGCAUUUGAAACUGUUCAGCUAGAGUAAGGGAGAGGAAAGUGGAAUUCCUGGUGUAGAGGUGAAAUUCGUAGAUAUCAGGAGGAACACCGGUGGCGAAGGCGACUUUCUGGCCCUAUACUGACGCUGAGACGCGAAAGCGUGGGUAGCAAACAGGAUUAGAUACCCUGGUAGUCCACGCUGUAAACGAUGUUCACUAGGUGUUGGGGGUUAUUGACCCCUUCCAGUGCCGCACCUAACGCAUUAAGUGAACCGCCUGGGAGUACGUCGCAAGAUUAAACUCAAAGGAAUUGACGG
rnacentral:rRNA from 1 species